rnacentral:rRNA from 1 species
AGAACGAACGCUGGCGGCAUGCCUAAUACAUGCAAGUCGAACGAACACUUCGGUGUUAGUGGCGCACGGGUGCGUAACGCGUGGGAAUCUGCCCUUGGGUUCGGAAUAACAGUUGGAAGCGACUGCUAAUACCGGAUGAUAUCGAAAGUUCAAAGAUUUAUCGCCCGAGGGAUGACGCCCGCGUAGGAUUAGCUAGUUGGUGAGGUAAGCUCACCGAGGCGACGAUCCUUAGCUGGUCUGAGGAGGAUGAUCAGCCACACGUGGGACUGAGACCGACGGCCCAGUACUACCGUACGGGAGGCAGCAGGUAGGAAUAGUUGGACAAGU